ACUUGAAUAAGAUAACUUCUGAGAAUAAAUUUAUGUACUAUUUUGGAAGAAUUGCUCUAUAGAGUAAAAAAUAAUUCUGGAUAAUUGAAAGUUAUCUUGUGAGUAUCUGGACAUUAAGGAUACAUUUCAAGACUCCUGUUUUCACUAAAAUCCAAUAUUUGUUUAAGCACUUCAAGUUAAAGAGGAGCACCUUCCCCUUUCACCCUGACUAUUGUUGUUAAUUCGUUUUUGAAGCUAUAUAAGAACGUUUCUUUAAUUGGUUUUCCCUUAGGCAUACAUUAGCUCUCUGUUCAAGACUUAGUAGCAGAGAGUAGUAAAUGGUUAUUAGUGGUUCUUCAUAUAAAACACAUUAGAGUUUCUUAGAAGAAAACUAUGCAUAAAGAUUACUUUCAGAUAUCAUGUCUGUAGUUCGUUAAUAGAGAAGUUUUUCUGAACGUGUAGAACUGUAAUAAGAUAAAUAAAUUUUUAAAAAGAAAAAGUAAGCAUAUAUACAAAA
rnacentral:lncRNA from 1 species